AGGAGAGAAAUCAUCACCUUCUCUCUGUCCUGAUCUGCUGUGUGAGCGCGGCUGGAGGUGAACAUGCCAGCCGCGCUCACACAGGAAAACACCACAGCCAGUUCAUCAGCUGACGGAGGAAAUCACCGAAAAAGAGAUGAGGAACAGCUACUCAAAAAGUUUCUGCCAGUUAUUGGACCUGAGCACUUCCUGGUUGUGGUUGUCUGUAUUUGUGUGAGAUUAAUAACAUUUUAAAUUAAACAGAACAUCCAGUGGCUUAAAAAUAAUUUGUGAUUUAUUUUUAACAUAGUGAAAGAUCCAAAACUACAGAUAAUAUUUGUGAAGUGGAAGGAAACUGAAUUUUGGAUCUAAAAAUGUUUGACAAAAAAAAUCUGAAAAGUUUGGCAUGUAUCUGUCUUUUGGUCAGGGAGAGUGUUGUGGAGAAGUUUAAAGUUUAUAGUCAGCAACAACAUUGCAAGAUUUUAGCAUUUCUUGGAGCUCUGAUCAUUUUAUCACCUGGAGAGAGGAUGGACCACCUGGACAGGUGAGCUGGUCAGAGGUGGAGGUAAAUCAAACCUUACAGAAAACCUGUUAAAGGAUGGAGGAAACUUGAGACUGUGAUGGAGGUUCACUUUCCUAAACAUAAACAUCUAGCCAGAGCUGAAAUGAAGAUUAAUGUUCAGAUGUGUUUUCAGAUGGGUUCAAACGCAUCUGAACAUUUUUCAUGUCAGCUCUAGAUCUUCUGACUGACUGAGACAUUUUCAGUCUCUAGAUCUGUAAAGUUGGUGAAGUUAUUCCCACAGUUAUAUGCAACUUCACCUGCAAUUACAGGUUUUGUAUUUAUGAAGCUUUGACUCUGUAAGACUGAAUACAAAAGCUUGAAAAUCCUUGUUAAAAUGUCAGUAAAAUCCCUUAAAAUUUGUGGUUGUAAUGUGACAAACUGUGUAAAAGUCUAGCAUGUAAAAAUGCUUUAGUUUUUAUGCUAGUUUUAUAAAACUCAAACAGUUUAUGAUCCCCAGUAUUAUCAACGGUUUAGGAACCACAACAGCCUGCAAAAAGCUACAAUCUAAAAAUACUUGAAACAUCCUUUUAAAAUGUUUAUAAUUGCCCAGUUUAAUAGUUCAAACACCAAAUAUAACUCAAUAUUAGACUGCACAGUAGAAGUUGACUUAGUGCUGCAGCAGAAGCUAACAUCCACAGUCUACCUCAUCUCCACUUUUGAGGGUGCAACCAAUCAGUGACAGGGAAAAUGUAUGGCACUCCUGGAUUGGCUGCUUUGCAAACACUGGCCUAGUUUUGUGUCUGUAUUUGAAUUAUUUAUUUUUUAUAUUAUUAUCUUGUCUAAUUCUCUGUUGUCUUCUCUAUACUUAUUCAAAGCAGGAAAAUAACCAUCAAAUCAUGUUUUGAUUGAAUCAACAGCUGUCCUGUCUGAAUGCCUGUUGGUGUCAUGAAGAUAAGAAAACCUGAAGCCAAGUGAUCCUGAAACCUUCUAGAUUUAAAGGCCAGGUGGACAGAUCCACUCCGACUUCCUGAUUAUUCAUUCCUGUAUUUUUGUUGUUGCACCUUUCAGAGCACAAAUCUUGCUAAACAAAAUGAUUAAUAUAGGUAAGAAGAGCUAAAAAGCUAAAAAAAAAAAAUCUGAACUGCUGUGAAAAAGGGGAAAAAACGUGAACACUGCACCUGGUGCCAGUACCUGCUGUCUCUGCUCAUGCACCUCUUUGAGCCCAUCCAGCAUUUCCAACCCAGCAAGAACAGACGGUGUGGAGAGCGACUUAUUGGAUUGGAUCCCAUCCAGCAGUGACUUAUAUGCUCAACCUAUAUGUCACAGAUGGAUCUGAACAUCCACACAGACCUGUGGGGAAGAGGAGCCACUAGAUUCUCGUUCUGGCCUUAAAAGCUAAAAUAGAGAUGAUUCUGUUCAAAUAUUCAGCUUUAAUCUCCAGUGAUGCAGUCACGUUCAGAGCCGUAAAACUCUGGUGAAGGAAGAACAACCUGCAGCCUGGGCCUCCAGUCUGCGCAGCCCUGGUUCAUUAUGGAGCACGGUGGGGAGCCCGAGCACACGGCGCGGUAAUCCCUGCUGGAGCAGCCGCCAUGCUGUCAUUACUGAAACGGAUGCCACUCCUAACACCAACAUGCACACAGACGAAGGGCUGUUGUCACUGCAUAUAGACUAUAUCAAGAAUUAUAUUCUCCACAGGACCUGAAAUACUGGUGCAGAUUUAUCCUCUGUUGUGAAUCAGAGGCAUGAUUUGUCCUGUUUGUUGUUGUUGAUGUCAUAUGCUUGCAGAUAUGAAAUGUGAGCCACUACUGUGAGGUUUAACACUGUUUGCAGAGUCUGCAUUUAAAUACAUUUCCGAUUAGAAGCAUAUAGACACAUAUCAGCAUGAAUGCUGUACGCAAAUUUAAUUUGAUCAGUUUGAGGCUUUUAAUUGGAUAUUUAAAUCAUUAUUUUCUGAGAAGCUGGACUGGUGAUGCAGCAUAUAACAUCAGUGGUUUUAUUUGGAUAAAUCUCCUUCAACAAGUUGCAGAGAAAUGACAUCAACAGGGUUCUGAUGAAAUUCUGUCUGGAGAUUUAAUCUCUCACCUCAUCUGAAAAUGAUCUUUUAUACUGGUUGAUUUUCUUACCUAGGACCUGCUUUUAAACACCAUCCAUAAAGUUUUCUUAUAUGGUUGAGAUCAUGGCUGUUCAGAUGCUUCAUGGAAGCUCAGAUGUUUCAGCCAUCUAACUGCUGAUAGUGAAGAUGGAGUAUUUGACGGUACAGAGGACCCCUGCAUAUUAGUGAUAGUAUUCCAGAUUCACACCCUUGCAGACUUUUCUGUGGAGCGCAACACUGAAUUAUUUGGUAUAAUUUGCCAACCUGGGGAUUGUGCUGUAGAGUGUAUCUAAAAUAUUUCAAAGAAAAUGCAACCUGGGCAGCUGAAAUACUUUAGAGCAAUGCUAUUUUACAUGCUAUUUGCUGGCAUUCACAAAGUAGCCAAUAUAGGGGCAGCAUUCGUUUUCAUUGGUUCUGACUGGCUGAACCCUCAAGAGCAGAAACAAGGAAGACCUUGGAUAGUAGCCUUCCUUGUUUUCACUCAGUGUAUUAUUGUAUACUUUGGUACAAUUGUUGUUUGAACUAACAAAAUAAGCUGUUAUAAGUGGUUUUAGAAGAUUGCGCUUCCAGAUCUCCAUUUUGGAUGAGGGAAGCGCCUCUGUGGUUCUUGUUAACUUGUAACAGUGACACUGACAGUAACACAGCUGAUACAACAUAAAAAAAAAUAAAGUAGCAUCUACUUCAGGUAUCACUCAGUAGUGGAUAGCAAAAAGCUAUUGAUCAUUUUGAGCUACGGUGGUACCUGAAUUAUUUUGAACAUCCUAACAUGUCCUUUUACCAGCAGUGGAGAUGUUUGAUCAAAUUAUUGAAAUUUGGACACAACUGUAUGUUCCAACAAGACAGUAAUCUCAAACACACACUGAAAGAGAAACUGAAAGGCUCAUAUAUGCUUUCUGAUUGACCUCCCCUAAACACUGACUGGUGAACUAAUCCAGAAGUUAGUACUAUGACAAAAACCCCCCAAAAAACUGAACUACACCAGUUCUACCAAGAAGAAGAGUCAAAUAUCCAGGCAGAAUUUGGUCAGAAACUUGGUGAUCGCUGCAAAGGUCAUGUGGUUGAAGUAUAACUUACUGAGGGUCAUUUUACCAAAUAUUAGUUGCAUAUUUCAGUAUGCAUGUAUAAUUUUGUUGAAGAGUGAAUCAGGUAAAUUCACAGAACAAUUUAGCUUGUGCAUGCCUAUUUCUUUUCAAAGUCAAGGAAGUUGCAAACACAUCAUGAAAACCCCCAAAAUUAGCAAGAUAUUCUGACUGAUGAUGAGGAUUUAAACUCAUGAUCUCAAAACAUAUCUAUUGUUAACCUAUUUUUCUUAUGAAUCUCUGACAGAAAAUGCAAGACACAUGGACAUGCAGGCAAAACUAAAUAAGUAAAAAGGAAAACGUGUAUUUUGUUUUUUUCCUCUUCCGACUGAUAUUCCUGAUCUAGGCCAGACAAUCAUGGCUGCCUGAAGACUAAUCCAAUCUUGCAUAAACAUUGCUAUGUUUU